UGUUUCACCUCCCCUAGGGUAUUUAGUCUGGGUCGCUUUCUUUGUUCUGUGUUGGAUCAGUGUUGUUACACAUGGUGUUGUUCCUGCCUUGAGUUUUUGUUCCUGACCUUUGUGUGUCGCUGUUUAGUGAACGUUUUGUUGCACCUGGUUGCAGUGCCCAAUUCCCUGGAAGUUUUACACAUUUAGUCCCUGGAGCAGGGUGUGGCUGACUGUGGACAUGUGUUUGAGGGCUUUCUUCCUCUACAUUGGCAUGAGGUAAAGUGUCCUUUUUUGGUUUGCAGUGAGUUUGGAAUGGCACAAAUAAACACCUCUGGCAUUUUAAACUUGAGGCUACAUGUUAACAUCUUUUCAAUAUUCUUUGAUUCAUGUGUUUUUGUUCAAAGAAAUUUCUUCUCUUCUCUGAUGUAUUCUUUAUUUACUUUAGGUCCUUGUACCUGUUACUUCUGGUGGGUCUGGUGGCGCUAGCAUGGCUGUAAUAUAUCAGUCUUGGUUAUCCUCUUCUGAGAGAUGAUGAAACGGUACAUUAAACAAAUGCCUUUCUGUCAAAAGAAAGAAACUGACAGAAGAAUAGUAUAAACUCAAUCAGUUAAACAAUAAAAAAAUGAAUGAAACACAAUGAGAAAAGACAAAAAGAAAAUGUGAGUCAUACUGGAAGGGCAGUGAGGAAAUGUAAAAAUGUACUGCAGAACAUGUAACCCAGCAACCAGCUGGAGUCACCCCUGGACAAAUGGCAACUCAUAACUACAGAAAGCAUGUUUGUUAGUUUAUAUCCCUUGAUUAAUGAAUUGUUCCACUGAUUGCUGAAUAUAACUCAUCACAGUGUUAUCCCUCAUUGGAAUAAGUGCAUUUUUAUUAUUUUGAUCAGUAUCAAAAGGUUGCAUUAUAUCAAAAGGGUGCGUUACAUCAAAAGACUGCGUUGCUGUAGAGUAAGUAAGGCUACUAAAUGGCUACAGAAAAGCGUUGCGUUCUUCUUCCCCAUUCACAGUCCAGAUAGUUUCACAUUCGCUUGUAUAUGUAGACAACUUUGUGGCAGCACGGACAGCGAUGCUCUACAUCUUGACAGGAAUCAAUGCAGAACGGGAUACAACAGCACAGAAAACACC